rnacentral:misc_RNA from 1 species
GAUGAAGAACGUAGCGAAAUGCGAUAAGUAAUGUGAAUUGCAGAAUUCAGUGAAUCAUCGAAUCUUUGAACGCACAUUGCGCCCCCUGGUAUUCCGGGGGGCACACCUGUUCGAGCGCCAUUUCAACCCUCAAGCCUUGCUUGGUGAUGGGCCCCGCCCGUGCGGCGGGCCCGAAACUCGUGGGCGCCCCAGGCCGGACUCCAAGCAUAGCAAAACCCUCGCUUGCGGACGACCGGUCGGAGGCCGCCCCGGACCCCCAAUAUUUAUCAAUGGUUGGCCUCGGAUCAGGUGGGGAUACCCGCUGAACUUAAGCAUAUCAAUAAGCGGAGGA